rnacentral:rRNA from 1 species
AUUGAACGCUGGCGGCAUGCCUUACACAUGCAAGUCGAACGGUAACAGGUCUUCGGAUGCUGACGAGUGGCGAACGGGUGAGUAAUACAUCGGAACGUGCCCGAUCGUGGGGGAUAACGAGGCGAUAGCUUUGCUAAUACCGCAUACGAUCUACGGAUGAAAGCGGGGGAUCUUCGGACCUCGCGCGGACGGAGCGGCCGAUGGCAGAUUAGGUAGUUGGUGGGAUAAAAGCUUACCAAGCCGACGAUCUGUAGCCGGUCUGAGAGGAUGAUCAGCCACACUGGGACUGAGACACGGCCCAGACUCCUACGGGAGGCAGCAGUGGGGAAUUUUGGACAAUGGGCGAAAGCCUGAUCCAGCCAUGCCGCGUGCAGGAUGAAGGCCUUCGGGUUGUAAACUGCUUUUGUACGGAACGAAAAGCCUCUUUCUAAUAAAGAGGGGUCAUGACGGUACCGUAAGAAUAAGCACCGGCUAACUACGUG